CCAACAGGCUAUGGGGCAUUUAUUCCGUGCCUUUAUGGUUAACCUAUAGACAUGGUGGCAACAUGAAGCAAACUACUUGGAAAAGAGAAUUGAGAGCGUAGAGAGACUAGACAGAGGCAGAAGGAACCUUUGGUACUUUUGUAAAACAGCAAGAGACAAACGUUGUGGGAAUGUUGAGUCUUGGCAGGGGAUGGAGUGCUUCCUGCAGGAGAGCAGAUAUGGAGUCAAGGAUUUCUGAUGAUUAGUUUGACAGAGAUCCAGGAAUUGUCCAGGCUGCAUAUUCUGACUUCUCAGCUAUGAAGCAAGAGGUUGGUUGCACUGGACUUUGAGUAUGUAAUGUACAGUGCACCCAUAGAAGCAUGUGCUGUGGAAGAAAAAACGGGAAGCACUCUAAGAGAUUAAAGAAUAUUACUAAACUACCAAA